CCUACGGGAGGCAGCAGUAGGGAAUUUUCGGCAAUGGAGGAAACUCUGACCGAGCAACGCCGCGUGAAUGAAGACGUAUUUCGGUAUGUAAAAUUCUUUUAUUAGGGAAGAACGGUCUGUGGAAAAACAGAAUUGACGGUACCUAAUGAAUAAGCCCCGGCUAACUAUGUGCCAGCAGCCGCGGUAAUACAUAGGGGGCAAGCGUUAUCCGGAAUUAUUGGGCGUAAAGGGUGCGUAGGCGGCCAUUUAAGUCCUUGGUGUAAGUGCAGCGCUCAACGCUGUGAUGCUAAGGAAACUGGAUGGCUUGAGUGAGAUAGAGGCAAGUGGAAUUCCAUGUGUAGCGGUAAAAUGCGUAAAUAUAUGGAGGAACACCAGUGGCGAAGGCGGCUUGCUGGGUCUUCACUGACGCUGAGGCACGAAAGCGUGGGGAGCAAACAGGAUUAGAUACCCUGGUAGUCCACGCCGUAAACGAUGAGUACUAAGUGUUGGAGAAAUUCAGCGCUGUAGUUAACGCAAUAAGUACUCCGCCUGAGUAGUACGUACGCAAGUAUGAAACUCAAAGGAAUUGACGG
rnacentral:rRNA from 1 species